rnacentral:rRNA from 1 species
AUGGCCUCUGUCCCCGCCCACCACUUGCGCGUGCGCGUCCUACUAGUGGCACUGUGCGCCGUCUCGGCGUCGGCGUCGGCGUCGUGGCCGUGGAAGCGGGGCGGGCACGACUACCGCGACGCGCUGGCCAAGUGCAUCCUCUUCUUCGAGGGGCAGCGGUCCGGGCGGCUGCCGGAGGGCCAGCGCGCGGCGUGGCGGGGCGACUCCGGCGUGUCGGACGGCAGGGCGGCGGGCGCCGGGGUCGACCUGGAGGGCGGGUACUACGACGCCGGCGACAACGUCAAGUUCGGCUUCCCCAUGGCCUUCACCACCACCAUGCUCUCCUGGAGCGUCCUCGAGUUCGGCGACGACAUGCCGCGCGAGGAGCGCCGCCACGCCGCCGACGCCGUGCGCUGGGGCACCGACUACCUCCUCAAGACCCUCGCCCACCCCGGCGUCAUCUUCAUGCAGGUGGGGGACCCGUGGAAGGACCACGAAUGCUGGGAGAGGCCGGAGGACAUGGACACGGAGCGCACGGUGUACAACGUCAGCGCGGGGCGGCCAGGGUCGGAGGUGGCCGGGGAGACGGCGGCGGCGCUGGCCGCGGCGUCCAUGGUGUUCCGCGACGGCGACCGGGAGUACGCCGAGCUGCUGCUCGACAGCGCCAAGAAGGCGUUCGAGUUCGCCGACUCGCACAGGGGCGCCUACAGCGACGACAUGGAUCUCAGAGCCGGCGGCUGCCCCUUCUACUGCGACUUCAACGGAUACCAGGAUGAGCUGCUGUGGGGCGCGGCGUGGCUGCGGAGGGCGUCCGGGGACGACACAUUCCGGGAGUACAUCCAGAACAACGGCAAGACCCUCGGAGCAGAGGACAGCAUCAACGAGUUUGGUUGGGACAACAAGCACGCUGGCCUCAAUGUCCUUAUAUCCAAGGAAUUCAUAGAAGGCGAGGCGCUGUCCAUGCAGUCCUACAAGGAGUCCGCGGACAGCUUCAUCUGCACGCUCAUCCCGGAGUCGUCGUCGCCGCACAUCCAGUACACGCCCGGCGGCAUGAUCUACAAGCCUGGAGGCAGCAACAUGCAGCAUGUCACCUCCAUUUCCUUCCUGCUCCUGACCUACGCCAAGUACCUCACGAAGUCCUCUCACACUGUCAACUGCGGCGACAUUUCAGUCGGUCCAGACACCCUCCGGCUUCAGGCCAAAAAACAGAUAGAUUAUCUGCUAGGAGACAACCCGAUGAAAAUGUCGUACAUGGUCGGGUACGGCGACCGGUAUCCUCAGCGGAUCCACCACCGAGGGUCAUCUCUGCCGUCGAUCAAGGACCACCCGGAGCGCAUGGCGUGCAAAGACGGCACGCCUUACUACGACUCGUCUAGCCCGAAUCCUAACCCGUUGGUCGGCGCCAUCGUCGGCGGGCCAGGGGAGGAUGAUGCUUAUGGGGACGACCGCGCUGAUUACAGGAAAUCUGAACCGACUACGUACAUCAAUGCUCCCUUGGUAGGGGUUCUUGCCUACUUCGUUGGCAACCCAAACCCUGGCCGUAUCAGACACUGA